rnacentral:rRNA from 1 species
AUGGCCGGCAGGCUUGUUCUACUCAACUCAGUCCUCUCUGCCCUCACCGUCUAUUGGCUAUCGGUGCACCAUAUGCCGGCCUGGAUACGUCACGAGAUUGAUAAAAUCAGACGGGCCUGGCUCUAGCGUGGCCAAGAGAGUUGUCACGGCGGCCACUGUAAGGUCGCCUGGAGCAGAAUCUGCCGACCUAGAGAUCUUGGCGGGCUCAGCAUCAUCGACCUGGUUCGCUUCGGGGCGGCGCUGCGGCUAAGGUGGCUCUGGUGGGAGAAGACGGCUCACUCCAAGCCAUGGGUUGGGCUACCGGUGCCAUGA